GGUAAAAUAAAAUUGUAAUGUAUUUUGCCAAAAUGUUUGUUCAUGUUGUAAAAUAAUUCUGAGAUUAAUUGAAUAUAAUGUGUUAAGUACAUCUGAAAGAAAAGGAUAUGGGGACACCUACAGGCGAGUAUGAUAACAAUUGAGUUAAGUCGGCCAUAUUCUCUUCAGUUUUAUGAAGCUGUUGAGGAGAAUGUUACGUGACCGGAUGAGCUGUACUUAAUCUGUUUGGUGUCAUUUCACAUAUUCUCAGAUAUUUUCGACUCAGUAAACGUGCGAUUGAUGAGCUCAGCCUUGGUCUCUGUGUGGUCCUUUCCGGGAGGGUCGAGAGAACGAACCAGUAGAGAGGGGUUACAAUGGUGCCGUGAUUCCCGUUUGUGAUCAAUUCAAUGCCGAUCUCCGGGGGGACGACGACAACAAGGCCUACAGCAGAGAACAGUGAGGACGUCGCACGUGUCAUCCGUUCAAGUGGACUGUGAUUGCCAGAUUCUCCGGUUAAAGAAUUUUUUUUUUUUCUCUCUUUUCUUCUCUGACGAACUUUUAAAAGGGAAAAAUACAUUUCGUUGGACUGCAGAUAAGUAAAGUGAUUUAAACAACAGUUUUAUUUGAUUAAUCUGACUUUUGAGUUUAGCUUUAGAAUAUUUUGAAUCUUUUGCAUUUGAGAAAAUGGCUGAGGGUGGUGCAGAAAAUUCCUUUUUCGGGAUUGGACGGGGUAAAUAUCGGAUGCAGUUCUCUGACACCAAGCCAGGGUCAGGUGAAUUCGGUUAUAAGGCUCACAUUCCUGAUGGUACUAGGGGGAAUUAUGUAGCUCAUGAUGUAAACAAAACUUUCCCUAUUACUUCUACCCCAAAGCCAUGCAAUGUAGAGGGUUCUAGCGAUCGAGACGUCAGCGAUUUCGGGGCUAUAGUUAUAGAAUUGG